rnacentral:rRNA from 1 species
UACGUAGGGUGCGAGCGUUAAUCGGAAUUACUGGGCGUAAAGCGUGCGCAGGCGGUUAUGCAAGACAGAUGUGAAAUCCCCGGGCUCAACCUGGGAACUGCAUUUGUGACUGCAUAGCUAGAGUGCGGCAGAGGGAGAUGGAAUUCCGCGUGUAGCAGUGAAAUGCGUAGAUAUGCGGAGGAACACCGAUGGCGAAGGCAAUCUCCUGGGCCUGCACUGACGCUCAUGCACGAAAGCGUGGGGAGCAAACAGG